rnacentral:rRNA from 1 species
UGGCCGUAAACGAUGUGGACUUGGUGUUGGAAUGGCUCCGAGCUGCUCCAGUGCCGAAGGGAAGCUGUUAAGUCCACCGCCUGGGAAGUACGGUCGCAAGACUGAACUUAAGGAUGGCGGGAGCACCACAACGCGUGGAGCCUGCGGUUUAAUUGGAUUCAACGCCGGACAUCUCACCAGGGCGACAGCAGAAUGAUGGCCAGGUUGAUGACCUUGCUUGACAAGCUGAGAGGAGGUGCAUGGCGUGUGACUGU